rnacentral:tRNA from 1 species
ACUGGGUUGGCCGAGUGGUUAAGGCGUUGGACUUAAGUUCCAAUGGACAAGUGUCCGCGUGGGUUCGAACCCCACCCAGCA